GAUGAAGAACGUAGCGAAAUGCGAUAAUUAAUGUGAAUUGCAGAAUUCAGUGAAUCAUCGAAUCUUUGAACGCACAUUGCGCCCUUUGGUAUUCCUUAGGGCAUGCCUGUUCGAGCGUCAUUUAAACCUUCAAGCUAAGCUUGGUGUUGGGUGACUGUCCGCUUCACGGCGGACUCGCCUCAAAAUUAUUGGCGGCCGGUACAUUGGCUUCGAGCGCAGCAGAAACGCGAACUCGGGCCCGUCGUAUUGGCUCCCAGAAGCUAUCUUCACAAUUUUGACCUCGGAUCAGGUAGGGAUACCCGCUGAACUUAAGCAUAUCAAUAAGCGGAGGA
rnacentral:misc_RNA from 1 species